rnacentral:rRNA from 1 species
UACGAAGGGGGCUAGCGUUGCUCGGAAUCACUGGGCGUAAAGCGCACGUAGGCGGCUUUUUAAGUCAGGGGUGAAAUCCUGGAGCUCAACUCCAGAACUGCCUUUGAUACUGAGAGGCUUGAGUCCGGGAGAGGUGAGUGGAACUGCGAGUGUAGAGGUGAAAUUCGUAGAUAUUCGCAAGAACACCAGUGGCGAAGGCGGCUCACUGGCCCGGUACUGACGCUGAGGUGGCGAAAGCGAUG